UCCAAGAGGACUCAUCCGUCUUUCAGGAGGAAUCAGUACAUGACACUGCAUGUGCUUUUUGGAAAUGCUUAACCUUUAUCAUGUUGUGCACCUACUUCAACCACCUUAUAAGGAAAAAGUUCUAAGAUUUCCAGAACCCACGGAAGUUCAUUUGGAAUCACCACAGCUAAUAAGCACAGUGAGCACUUUAUUGGAAGCUUCCCCAAAGCCUGCAGUAGGAGCGAACAGCAGAGGCAUCAAGGAGAAGGAUGCCAAAGAAAAGAAGCCAGUUCAUGCCGGAAACAGAACCUUGGAAGAGCUCAAGAACAGAGGCACCGUCUCUGAGGAUGGAGUCACAGAGUUGUCGAGAGUUAGCACAGUGGAGAAGACAAUGGCACCCCACUCCAGUACUCUUGCCUGGAAAAUCCCAUGGGCAGAUGAGCCUGGUAGGCUGCAGUCCAUGGGGUCGUGAAGAGUCGGACACGACUGAGCAAGUUCAUUUUCACUUUUCGUGCAUUGGAGAAGGAAAUGGCAACCCACUCCAGUGUUGUUGCCUGGAGAAUCCCACGGACAGGAGCCUGGUGGGCUGUUGUCUAUGGGGUUGCACAGAGUUGGCCACGACAGACAUGACUUAGCAGCAGCAGCAGCACAGUGGAAACUGGCCUUCCAGGUCUUCUUGUCUCCUCCUCCUAUUGGCUCCUCCCUGGUCUGCUGAAGACCAAAGACCGAGACUUUCUUUCUAGAGGAGAUGCAUCAGAGUUAAGUCUGUCUCUAGAGGCACCGGGAGCGCCUGAGGGUGGAGCUUCCCAAACACUGGCAGCCAGCAUUUCCUCUGUGGAGAAACUCAUCAGCUUAAAAGAAAGACCUAGAUGGAGUGAUAACUGAGCAUCCGCCAAUGAAAUAGAGGACCAUCCCCAGAGGCCCAUCAGUUGACAAGCCCCAGCCAUGCCUACCAUUUCCAACCUCUGUAUUUAGCUCCUUGCUAAACUGAAAAGACAGCCGAGGAUCAGACAGAUGAGGGAUGGUUCUCCAUGCAAAUCUGAGACCAAAGGAAACAGAUAAAAUUAACUUGGAAGAAACAGACAAUGUGGGGAACAAAAGAAUGUAUUAAAAACUCUAGGAUGGAAUAUUCUCUCUAAGGGAAAAAGAUGCUGUGUUCAUGAAAUGAGAAGAGAAUGAAUGCCAUUUGAAAGAAGAAAAGAAACAUUCAGAGACCAAGAAAGCAUUCUAAUAAAUUUUAAAUGAUGGCAAACAGAAAUUAAAGAUAAAGGUUGAUAAAUAAAACUGAGCAAAAGUCUAAGUAAUUAGAUUUAAAAAAAAGGAAGAGAUGAGAAGUAGGAGAGGCAAGAUAAGCAAACCAGAAGAUUGAUCAGGAAGUUUCGAAAGUUAACAAACACGAGUUCCAGAAACUAGAAGGGAAAAAAAUAGAAGAAAAGAGAUUUUGUAAAGACAAAUACAAAAGCAUUUCUAGAACUAAGGGAAUAAACUUUCAUCCUGAAGAGGUCUACUUAAUACCUAGCACAAUAUAUGGGGGAGAAAAAGCAUGUAGAACUGAUUUCUCACUGUGAAAUUUCAGAACAACACACACACACACACACACACACACACACAAAGAUGCUAACGGUUGCCACAAUGGAAACAGAAAUAUCAUAUACAAAGCCUCCAAGAUUAGAAUUCGUAGAACUUCUCCACAGCAAACUGGGGUUGCAAGGCAAAGAAGCAGCCAGAGAGAAUGAUUUCAAAACAAAGCAUCGAUCAGGCCUAAGCCUAGAAUAAGGAUAUUUUCAGACUAUGAGGACUUUAA
ensembl:lncRNA